rnacentral:rRNA from 1 species
UGGGGAAUAUUGCACAAUGGGCGCAAGCCUGAUGCAGCCAUGCCGCGUGUAUGAAGAAGGCCUUCGGGUUGUAAAGUACUUUCAGCGGGGAGGACGGCGAUAAGGUUAAUAACCUUGUCGAUUGACGUUACCCGCAGAAGAAGCACCGGCUAACUCAGUGCCAGAAGCAGCGGUAAUACGGAGGGUGCAAGCGUUAAUCGGAAUUACUGGGCGUAAAGCGCACGCAGGCGGUCUGUCAAGUCGGAUGUGAAAUCCCCGGGCUCAACCUGGGAACUGCAUUCGAAACUGGCAGGCUAGAGUCUUGUAGAGGGGGGUAGAAUUCCAGGUGUAGCGGUGAAAUGCGUAGAGAUCUGGAGGAAUACCGGUGGCGAAGGCGGCCCCCUGGACAAAGACUGACGCUCAGGUGCGAAAGCGUGGGGAGCAAACA